rnacentral:rRNA from 1 species
GAUGAACGCUAGCUACAGGCUUAACACAUGCAAGUCGAGGGGCAGCACAGUGUAGCAAUACACGGGUGGCGACCGGCGCACGGGUGCGUAACGCGUAUCCAACCUUCCCGUUACUCUUGGAUAGCCUUCCGAAAGGGAGAUUAAUACAAGAUGGUAUUCAAAUUCCGCAUGUUAUUUGAAUUAAAGAUUUAUCGGUAACGGAUGGGGAUGCGUAUGAUUAGCUUGUUGGCGGGGUAACGGCCCACCAAGGCAACGAUCAUUAGGGGUUCUGAGAGGAAGGUCCCCCACACUGGAACUGAGACACGGUCCAGACUCCUACGGGAGGCAGCAGUGAGGAAUAUUGGUCAAUGGAGGCAACUCUGAACCAGCCAAGUAGCGUGCAGGAUGACGGCCCUAUGGGUUGUAAACUGCUUUUAUGCGGGGAUAAAUGAGCCUACGUGUAGGUUUUUGCAGGUACCGCAUGAAUAAGGACCGGCUAAUUCCGUGCCAGCAGCCGCGGU